UACGUAGGUGGCAAGCGUUGUCCGGAUUUAUUGGGUUUAAAGGGUGCGUAGGCGGUCCUAUAAGUCAGUUGUGAAAUACGGCAGCUUAACUGUCGAGGUGCAAUUGAUACUGCAGGACUUGAGUACAGACGAGGUAGGCGGAAUUGACGGUGUAGCGGUGAAAUGCUUAGAUAUCGUCAAGAACACCGAUAGCGAAGGCAGCUUACUAGACUGUAACUGACGCUGAGGCACGAAAGUGUGGGGAUCAAACAGG
rnacentral:rRNA from 1 species